AUUAUUCAAAAAUAUCUCCCGAAUAUUUACUACCUUAAUUCGGUGCUUUCCCUCAUAUCUAAAGCAGCGGGGAAAGCCCUGGCGCUCAACGCGGGCGGGCCCCUGGGGACCCAUACACCUCGCGAGGCGUACUCAAAGCAAACCCGCACUCGCGCCCGCCCGAAGAGGAAGACGCCCGCGCGACGCCCGCCAAGGCAAACAGCCGUGCCCAUUGUCAGAGCCCACUGUAAUAUUAAUAGCUCAGCCAACUUCAAUCAAGACUCCUGCCUCAGCUUAAAAGUCGCCACCAGGAGGAGGCCAACCCGGAAACUCGGAGAUUACGCCCGCGGAGCUUGGGUUGAGCUGUGGACGACCAAACAUCACAGGUGAUUGUGUGACUCUUACAACUCAGGGGAGAACCUUCAGAAAAAUUGAAAAUGAGAAAUCACAUCCCGAAAUUUACAUCGACGCAAAGAAAUCUAGUCUAGACAAAAAAAUCGAUUUUUCGCGAAUUUUUAAAAGGACAGUAUUUACACGUAUUUGGUAUAGGGCGAACCUGGGUGUAUACCAUGCUACGUCACGAAGUCCCAGCGCGGGAAAAAACCCGUUUCAAAUCGCUUUUGACAUUGGGGAGCUUUUUCUCUAAGUUCCGGUGACCGGAAAUUUUUUUAAAUAAUACUCUCAUACUCAGUGGACCUCAAACUUUUAGAAACUGAAUUAAAAAAAUUUCAUGCAACUACCCCAUUGAGACGGACAAAAUAUACCCCUUAGACACUUUACUAUAGCAACCGGAAUUCUAGAUCCUUCUUAUACGCUAAAAAAAAAAAACUCUGGCUGUGGAAGCCAUAUUUACGGACUAUAGACAUACCGUCCGCCUUCCGGGCUCAGAGGUUGAAAGUUCCGGGCGUAUCAUCCGGAGCAAUCGAAGCUAAGGCUCCGGCAUCCGCAACUUUCGGACUUGGAGCUCGGAACGGACGGUAUGUCUAUGUAGCCCGUAACAUUUUUUUUGCAGUGUAAUUUUCUCUGAUCUUUCCUAGGCAGUGUCUAAAAGUUAAAUCGAAAAUGCGCGUGUACUAUACAGUAUUUCAGAGCAAAAAGGCACCGGGUUCAAUUUUGCAAUUAGGAACUAAAAUUUCUGACCCAUCCGUAUAGAGGGACCGAUGGUACAUAAGUUGUCUCUGAAAUGAGCUAAACAUUUUAAUUCCUUAUUGAAAAAAUGACUUCAUUUCAUGCAUUUUGAAAUAUCAUGGAUGGGAAAAUCGAGUGUCAGACC
rnacentral:lncRNA from 1 species